AGACCAAGAAGAGUGGAGGAAAAGGUGUCAGGCAAAGACUUGACUCGCCCCUGGUUUGUGAUGCGCAUGCUGCGGACAUCUUCACUGGCGGAUGAAAAAUGCUUUUGCACUACACAGGGCCUUACUUACUGCUCUCUAUGGCUAUCAGUUCCCAGGGUUGCUAUGGGCACCAUGGAAGCCUGUCAUUACAGGGGACCUGCCAUGCUCUCCCAAGCCACAGGUGGACCAGAGCGACACCAGCAGUGCCAGGCUCUGCUACUCUGUCCCCUCCUCUGGCUCUUCAGGCCACAUGCCUCACCUCUCUGUUCCACUGGCAGCGCUCAUCUUGGCACGUAACUAGGCUAUUCAUACAUCUUGCACAUAGGUAUAUAUCAUCCCAAUAUGGGAAAGACUUCUCAGAUCUCAAAGGAUCGCUCCAGCUAUCCAGAGAGACCUCCUCUACAGGACCAAGGAACUUGCUCAGGCCAUGAAGAAGCAAUUACAACCCCCCAUCAAUAUAAAUGGCUUCUCUUCUCAUGUGGAGGGAAGACAGAGGAACUGACUUUCAAAGAAUCACAUCAUCUACAACAGGCACCGAAUGCAGACCAAUGGGAAUUAUACUCUCAGGGAUCCAGAGAAGAAUUUGGGCAAGACCUGAACAGAAAGAUGUUCUUUUAAUGUGCUCCAGUCCAGUGAAACUUACUUGGAGAAUAAGCUCAAGAGGGAAGCAGAAACAAAAUCACCAUCUUCCAGACAGGAACAAGCAGACUGCACAAAAGUCUGUCAUAGGAGGGUAUCACUGUGUACGUGACUCAAAACUUGCAACUUGCCUGCUCUUUGCUGUGCUUAUGGAUUCCAUGUGCAUGAGAGAUCUUCAUCAACAUAUAAAUACAAAAAGUUCUUAGGGGAACAAUUUGAUUGUCUCUUACACUGAACACUCUGGGACAGCCUUCUUAGAAAUAAAGAUUAGACAUGACAGGA